rnacentral:tRNA from 1 species
GGGCCCGUAGCUCAGUUGGAAGAGCAUCCGCUUUGCAGGCGGAAGGCCCCGGGUUCAAAUCCCGGCGGGUCCA